rnacentral:rRNA from 1 species
CGGUGCCAAACCGGAGGAAGGUGGGGAUGACGUCAAGUCAUCAUGGUCCUUACGACUGGGGCUACACACGUGCUACAAUGGCCGGUACAGAGGGCUGCUACGUAGCAAUACGAUGCCAAUCCCUAAAGCCGGCCUCAGUUCGGAUUGUCGUCUGCAACUCGACGGCAUGAAGCUGGAAUCGCUAGUAAUCGCGGAUCAGCGACGCCGCGGUGAAUACGUUCCCGGGCCUUGUACACACCGCCCGUCACGCCAUGGAAGUUGUGAGCGCCCGAAGUCGGUGUCGGAACCCGCAAGGGACCAAGCCGCCUAAGGCGAGCGCAAUGACUGGGGCGAAGUCGUAACAAGGUAGCCGUAGGGGAACCUGCGGCUGGAUCACCUCCUUUCCGGAGCGAUGAGUAGACGGCCUCUUCGGAGGAUCCGCUGAAAGUCCCGGAUUUUGUCGUCCGCCUCGCACGUUCGCGAUCUCUGCUGGAUUUGUUGCGCUGCUCUGCGGAGUGGCGCUGCUAUUUGACAACGGAAGUGGGAAGUGAUCGUGGGUACUCCUGCCAGCAUACGCGGCGGUCGAAAGACCGACCCGGGUAUGGGUGGCAGCGAGGACGAAGAACCUCAGUGAGGCGUAGUACCGAUUCCGCGGAUCGCGAGAUCUGCGGUUCUGUUAACGCAUCACUCGUUCGAAAUAGCGCGUGCUUUGCUUGAACGAUUUGCACCAGAGGAUUACCCGAAAGGGUGGAUCGGCUGGGAACGAGUCAAGCGAACGAAGGUAUGCGGGGGAUACCUAGGCACACCAGAGGCGAAUUCUGCUAAAAACCUC